ensembl:lncRNA
UGAAUUUCUAACACUAGGCAAUCGUCAGGGCGAGUCUCGCGACGCGCCGUUUAACAACAUAACGAGGGCGACCACCGGCAGUGUCCUUUCAAGAAGAACCGACCCGACCUUUGCCGGAGAAACUAGAGGUAAUACAGUUGGACCCAGAUCAGCCUGACUUCACGAUCAGACAACGGACUGGCGUGAAAGAGAGGACCUGGAAGAUGAGAAGGAUGGUUUCCAAUAAGGCUGCAGAGGGAAUGGCCAUGACCUCCACCUACAAGUGCAAAAGUCCCUCAUGCAGAACUGCUGACACACCUCCAGGCUCCUUUUCCUCCCGUUCUCCUUCACUUAUCUCGCCCCGCAGAUCCACACGUUUGGAUCUGGAUUUGCCUCCAGAGCGUCUGAAAUCUGAGCAUUCGGUGGAGGAGCAAAACGCAUCAAGGCAGAAUCUCCUCCCAGAGCUCAACCCAUAACCGCGACCCCAGACCGAGACCAACAAUUUAAUCCAGCACGAGGUCCUGUGAAUUUAAGACCAUGAGCCACCCCAAAUGCCAUGAAACCAGAGCCUAGACACCUGCUUUGGCACCAGAAUUUCAUUGUCAUUGUGCCAUUCCGUGGGUUUGCUGAACACUCCAGACAACGACCCGCAAACCAGAGCUCUUAUUCUGCAGAACCAAAGAAAAAAAAAAAUCCUUGGACUGGAAGUCAUUUUAAUUUUCUCUGCCAUCACCUGUUAUUUUUCACAUUCUUUUUUUCUUAAAGCCACAAAAAUGAUAAACUAAAAAAGAAUCCAGACAUCUGGUACCAUAACCAAGCCGGUUUGGUUCUUUAUUUCCCUUUUUUAUUUUUGGGACUAAACAGAACCACACAAAUGGGCCAGGGGGAGCUACUCCAUAACAUGUGUGCCUCGCCGCAGGAGAGGAAAAAUAAACGCACGCCAAACCAUAAAAAACCUAAACUAAUGCAAAGGCACUCUGAAUACGAAACUGC